AAAACCAGAACAGUCACUUCCAGGUUUUGAUCAUUAGGGAGCCAAAAUGUCCGAGUUCCAGGGCAUUCAACAACCAAGGUACAGCUGUAUUUAAAAGCAUGCUUACACUGGCAACUUAUAUUUUGAAUAGAUAGCAGCAGUGAGGCCUCAAAUGUAGGACAUGCUUCUUAUUUGAGUCAUAAAUUAGUUUUCUGCAGAAAAUCAUCACCUGCUGGGUUGCUGUUUGUCCCCAGAGGUAAUGUUUGCAGUAAUCCCAACAUACAGUUGAGUGAUGGCAACUAAAUGUUGCACUUUCAAGAAACUAUCCUCUUUCUUCCAGGAUCCUAAAAAUGGCACCUUUGCUGAAGGGUUGCAUUCAUUAAAGGAUCGUAGAAAAGCUAGAUAUAUCCCAAGUGAUUCAAAUUGAGGUCCUCUGGCAGUGAGACUGGGAAAGCUGGAUUGAAUUUGGCCCUCCAAGACUUUUUAUUUGGCCCCUCAGACUCUCCACAACCUACCACCCCACUUUGCCACCCCUGGCUAGCAGCUUAAACUCUGCUGUUGCUCAUGAGGUCACCUGCCUAGAUGGGACCUUUAUAUUGUUGGGAUACUGCCAGGGAGACAUCAUCCAUCUAGGCCCCACGUCGCCUCUGGACGUCCAUCAAUCUCCCGUAGACACGCAGUAUCAGCAAUUAGUGACACGAGCUCCAGAAAUAGCUUGCCACAUUCCAGAGCUGAUGCACGCUCUAUCAGCAGAUAAUGCACAGCGAAAGAUGCACGCAGGAGAGCAUUGUUUACAAUUUUAUUCAGCGUUGGUCAGAACAAAGAAAACAUGACUGCCUGCUUCGGUGUCUCAGGCACAGAGAGAGAAAGGAAAGCAAAGACAAAACAUAAACUUCCUGUGAACAGGAAAUACGCAAACUCUGUGACUCACAAACCCUGCUCCCUUUUAAGGUGGAACGGAAAUAUCCUAACAUAUAUAUCCCCAGUUGAUACAGGAAAAUGAGAAUUUAGCUGGAGCCAUAAAAAGUAUGCAAGGAAGAGGGAAGUCACUUACUUGCAGGAAGCACACCAAGUGAGUAACAUAUAUACCCUCUCAAACAAUGACUUUUGACUUGUUCUAGUGUGUGUCCUGAUUUUCAGGAUUGCUGAGAGCUUUAAAAAGAAAGAGAACUAAGGCACAUCAGCAAAGAGGCACUUGAAAGUUUUGAAAUAAAAUAAUCCUGUACUCUUUGUUGCAGAGAGAGAAAUGUGUUGUUUUGAUUGUUACUUUUUUAGUUGCGCGUUCCCAGCAAUCCCUUUCUAUCUAAGAAGGAACAUCAAACAACAGCGAAGAAGAUGGGAAGAAAAAGGAGGCAGCGCUGUGAUCAUCCCUAUUGUGCUCCCAUCCAAGAAGAGUGGCCUAGCUUCAUUUUGUUUAGAAAAAAUGUCAUCAAAAGCUCACAAAAGAAUAACACUUGAGUGGAGAUGUCCUUGUGUCAUCGUCUGUGAUGCUGCAAUACUUUGUGGAGAGGCUCCUCUUAGCAACUCACAGAGAAACCUAUGAAGCUGGGCUGAGGCUGACCCAUUUUUAUGGUACUGAUGGUGACCUUCCUGUUCUCUGGUGCUGAUGCUGAUGCAAUUUAAAGUAAGUAGCCGUGGGCAUGUCAGCCAACCCAGAGAAUGGUUCUGGCCUGUUUCUUUGGGUUGGGGUGGGGGCAUAAACAGCACUGGUUGUCCUUGUGGGUGACAGAAGGAGCUUAAGCCUGGUGGAGAGCACAGUCACAGCAGUAGCUUCCCUGAAGGUGGGUCACUGUCUCUUACUGGGAAUGGAGAGGCAGCAAAGCAGUUAAAGGUAAAGGGACCCCUCACCAUUAGGUCCAGUCGUGACUGACUCUGGGGUUGCGGCGCUCAUCUCACUUUAUUGGCUUUACGGGUCAUGUGGCCAGCAUGACUAAGCCGCUUCUGGCAAACCAGAGCAGCACACGGAAACACCAUUUACCUUCCUGCCAGAGUGGUACCUAUUUAUCUACUUGCACUUUGACGUGCUUUUGAACUGCUAGGUUGGCAGGAGCAGGGACCGAGCAACAGGAGCUCACCCCAUCGCGGGGAUUCGAACCGCUGACCUUCUGAUCGGCAAGUCCUAGGCUCUGUGGUUUAACCCACAGCGCCACCCAUGAUGGUGCAAAUGCACCAGUGGAGCCAAUUCAUGCAUUUGCACCAUGCCAGGAUCCCCACUGUCUCCUCCUUUCCACACUGCAGGUCCCCCAGAAAGAUACUGAAAACCCACCUUUUCUCCAUCGAUUUCUCUUAAACAAUAGUUUCCCAACAAUAGCUAUCGAAAGCCAAUUGGAGAAGCAGGCAGAAAUUGUGCUUCUUUUUCUCUUCCGGACUGAAACAGCUCCUUCAGAUGUCUUUUCUUCAGGAAGCAGACCCGCCUUGAAACACAAAGGGCAGCUAUAUAUGUAUAACUACCUUCUAAUGACAAUGAGGUCCAUUUGGUAAUGAAUUUCUCUCAGUGUAACUCUCUGACUUCUGUUUCCAAGAAUUCAGCCAGCAGCAAUCCCUCGGCAGCUAUAUGUAUUGCCGUUUCCUGUAUUUCCUCUACAUCAGCAACACAUGCAUAAUUCUUUCUCAAUGAUCUUAUUAUAUAAAGCCAUCACAAUUGACCAGGG